rnacentral:rRNA from 1 species
GACGAACGCUGGCGGCGUGCUUAACACAUGCAAGUCGAACGGAAAGGCCCUGCUUUUGUGGGGUGCUCGAGUGGCGAACGGGUGAGUAACACGUGAGUAACCUGCCCUUGACUUUGGGAUAACUUCAGGAAACUGGGGCUAAUACCGGAUAGGAGCUCCUGCUGCAUGGUGGGGGUUGGAAAGUUUCGGCGGUUGGGGAUGGACUCGCGGCUUAUCAGCUUGUUGGUGGGGUAGUGGCUUACCAAGGCUUUGACGGGUAGCCGGCCUGAGGGGGUGACCGGCCACAUUGGGACUGAGAUACGGCCCAGACUCCUACGGGAGGCAGCAGUGGGGAAUAUUGCACAAUGGGCGGAAGCCUGAUGCAGCAACGCCGCGUGCGGGAUGACGGCCUUCGGGUUGUAAACCGCUUUCGCCUGUGACGAGGCGUGAGUGACGGUAAUGGGUAAAGAAGCACCGGCUAACUACGUGCCAGCAGCCGCGGUGAUACGUAGGGUGCGAGCGUUGCCCGGAUUUAUUGGGCGUAAAGGGCUCGUAGGUGGUUGAUCGCGUCGGAAGUGUAAUCUUGGGGCUUAACCCUGAGCGUGCUUUCGAUACGGGUUGACUUGAGGAAGGUAGGGGAGAAUGGAAUUCCUGGUGGAGCGGUGGAAUGCGCAGAUAUCAGGAGGAACACCAGUGGCGAAGGCGGUUCUCUGGGCCUUUCCUGACGCUGAGGAGCGAAAGCGUGGGGAGCGAACAGGCUUAGAUACCCUGGUAGUCCACGCUGUAAACGGUGGGUACUAGGUGUGGGGUCCAUUCCAUGGGUUCCGUGCCGUAGCUAACGCUUUAAGUACCCCGCCUGGGGAGUACGGCCGCAAGGCUAAAACUCAAAGGAAUUGACGGGGCCCCGCACAAGCGGCGGAGCAUGCGGAUUAAUUCGAUGCAACGCGUAGAACCUUACCUGGGUUUGACAUGGAUCGGGAGUGCUCAGAGAUGGGUGUGCCUCUUUUGGGGUCGGUUCACAGGUGGUGCAUGGCUGUCGUCAGCUCGUGUCGUGAGAUGUUGGGUUAAGUCCCGCAACGAGCGCAACCCUUGUUCACUGUUGCCAGCACGUUAUGGUGGGGACUCAGUGGAGACCGCCGGGGUCAACUCGGAGGAAGGUGGGGAUGACGUCAAGUCAUCAUGUCCCUUAUGUCCAGGGCUUCACGCAUGCUACAAUGGCUGGUACAGAGAGUGGCGAGCCUGUGAGGGUGAGCGAAUCUCGGAAAGCCGGUCUCAGUUUGGAUUGGGGUCUGCAACUCGACCUCAUGAAGUCGGAGUCGCUAGUAAUCGCAGAUCAGCAACGCUGCGGUGAAUACGUUCCCGGGGCUUGUACACACCGCCCGUCAAGUCAUGAAAGUUGGUAACACCCGAAGCCGGUGGCCUAACCGUUGUGGGGGAGCCGUCGAAGGUGGGACUGGUGAUUAGGACUAAGUCGUAACAAGGUAGCCGUACCGGAAGG